ACGGGUACACCACGUUGAAACAAACACUUACCGUACGAUCGCUGAAGAUAAGCAACGUCAAGCCUGGCCAGUACCUAGAUGGGUUACCGUUUGGGAAUACCAGGUGCUGUAA